rnacentral:rRNA from 1 species
UCGAGAAUUUUUGACAAUGGGGGAAACCCUGAUCGAGCGACGCCGCGUGGAGGAUGAAGGUCUUCGGAUUGUAAACUCCUGUCAUUGGGGAACAAUGCACAGAUAUUAACUGUAUUUGUGUUGAUAGUACCCGAAGAGGAAGGGACGGCUAACUCUGUGCCAGCAGCCGCGGUAAUACAGAGGUCUCAAGCGUUGUUCGGAUUCAUUGGGCGUAAAGGGUGCGUAGGCGGCGCGGUAAGUCGGGUGUGAAAUCUCGGAGCUUAACUCCGAAACUGCAUUAGAUACUGCCGUGCUUGAGGACUGGAGAGGAGACUGGAAUUUACGGUGUAGCGGUGAAAUGCGUAGAUAUCGUAAGGAAGCCCAGUGGCGAAGGCGGGUCUCUGGACAGUUCCUGACGCUGAGGCACGAAGGUCAGGGGAGCAAACGGG